rnacentral:lncRNA from 1 species
CUCGAUUCCUUCUAUUUGUAUGUUUAACUUUGUCUCCUCCUUUAUCAGUUAACUCAUAAGUUAAUUCUGAAAAGAAAUAAAAAAGAAGAUAAACUCAGCUCAACAUGGAAGCCUAAUAAAAUUGACAACUUAGAGAAAAUAAAGCCUAGAAAUGACAACAACCAAUAUCACAAAAAUCAAUUAGCAGCAGUAGUCAAGUAUGAUAAUUGAAUAAAUCUCUUUAAAAUACUAUGAUAAUGAUUACCAACACAUAGUUAACUAGCAAUCAGCCAAGAUGGGAAAUUGAAACUUAAACAUCAGCCCUCUCUACAAUGAAACAAAGAUGGUGGCAUUUAAGAGUUAGAUAUGAUCAUUUUUUUUCACCUAUAAAGAUAUAAUUAAUUUAUAAAAUGAGUCUUUAUUCCAAUCUACAUACUUUUCGGUUGAUGAUGGCAUCAUAAACCUUAUUAGUGAUCUUCUAUCUAGCCUCUCUAUACUGCACAAUCUUUUCAAAUGAUGAAAUAAUAUUCUGACAAACUCAUCACCAUCACCUCCGUGGUGAAACUUCUAAAGUCUUAAUAUACAGAAAGAUUCAAUCAAGAAAGAUCUUAAUAUAAGAUAUAGAUAUUACCUUUAAGUCUUAAUUUUUUCAACUCCUUGCAAAAACUAAGUCAUGCCAAUUGCCAAUUAUUCCAUAAAAACAUAACAGGAAAUGCCUACAAGAUAAGAAAGAAUCACAAUAGAAAAGAACAAAUCAAUAGAUUAGUGCCAAAGAAUAGUAUCAGUUUUACUUAUGAUAUAUACUAAGCAUUAGACACAUUUUCUAAUUCUACCAAAUGCUAACUAAAGACAAACAAAAGGGUAUGCUCUAAGCUAAAGACAAACAAAACUUAUAUACUCACAAUAANNNNNNNNNNNNNNNNNNUGGUCAAUGAAGAGAACUAAAAAUGAAGAUUCCAAACAAGCUUCAACUAAUGAUACCUCUCUAUUGGUUCUUCAAGUAUAACCAUAUCAAUAAAAUGUAUAACCUGCAUAGAAUACAAAAUUAUGAUCACAAUAUUGCUAAAAAGUACAAUCGUCCAUAAGAAUUAUCACUGCUUCUAAACUACCAAAUUAAAAGAGAAAAAGCACAACCAAAAAUUCUACAAAGCAAUCAGUACAUGUGAAUUGGUAAAAAGUCUUAAAUCACAAGGGAACUAAGA